rnacentral:lncRNA from 1 species
ACCGAUUCAUUUCUCAUCCUUUUCGAAUCUUGAGAGGGCUUCAAACUUGAACAUUUUCCCUCCUAAAACUGAAUUCUCUUCUUUCCUAUGGGUGUUUGGCCGAAAAUAAUUUUUGGAAAAGUUGAAAUUUAGGGUGACAACCAACCACGUAGUGCCAUGUCAUCAAUUAUGCUCAAUGAAAGUUCAACCCUAAAAUUAGAUUUUUCUAGUUUCUAGUUUUUU